UCCUCGUUGGCUCAGUUGGUAGAGCGCCUCACUAGUAUGCUUAGUUCGGCGAACUAAAUACAUAUACAUAAUGAGGAGGUCAGUCGUUCAAAUCGGCUACGAGGAA